rnacentral:misc_RNA from 1 species
GAUGAAGAACGUAGCGAAAUGCGAUACUUGGUGUGAAUUGCAGAAUCCCGUGAACCAUCGAGUCUUUGAACGCAAGUUGCGCCCGAAGCCAUUAGGCCGAGGGCACGCCUGCCUGGGCGUCACACGUCGUUGCCCCCCCAUCUACUCCUUCGGGAUUGCGAGGGGCGGAUGAUGGCCUCCCGUGCGCCUCGUCGCGCGGUUGGCAUAAAUGCCAAGUCCUCGGCGACGCACGCCACGACAAUCGGUGGUUGCGAAACCUCGGUUGCCCGUCGUGUGCGGUCGUCGCGCAUCGAGGGCUCGAAAAAAUUGCCGGGCUCCGGCUCGGCUUUCAAUGCGACCCCAGGUCAGGCGGGGUUACCCGCUGAAUUUAAGCAUAUCAAUAAGCGGAGGA